CUGCUAUUAGUUCCCCGUUACAGGCCUGGGUCUGAGCCGAAGCUCCUAACGCGCCUCACGUGAUUGAGAGACCUCUCAGACCCGCCCAGGAAGCACGUAUAGGAACAGGAACAAACAGGGACAUUCCUCUCUCAGUCCUGUUCACAUCUUGGUAGGGCCGGCGCAGUCACAAAUGGCACGGGGAGAACUCUGCCAUCACUCCCUCCCCCCUGGGAGUCAUGAAAACCUUUCAAGAGCUAGAUGCUCGAUGCUGGCUGCUUCCAGCUCCUGUCAUCGCACAGCCUGCCCGUGCCUUCUGUGAAACUAUUUCUUCAGAUGCUCCAGGCCAGCAACAUUCCCACAGCAGAAAAAGUCUCCUCCCUGGAAUGACAUCAUCCACAAUUGGUUAGACCAAAAACCAAUCAAGACGAUCCUCCACAGACAUAUCCACAGGUCAGCCUGAUCUCUUCUGGGAACCUUUCUUCCCAGGGGAUUGUAAGUUAUGACAUGCUAGGAUGUAAAGUGAGCUAUUGUACACAGGGCAUCUUCUGCUCUCUCCUCUACCUGCAAACAGAGACCAGGGGGCCUUGGAGUCUCUGUGUCAGGAGAUACCUUGGAGGGUAGCACAGAGGUCCAGUCUCCCUGCUUAAGUGAUGGGGAGUUCUCAGGAGGAUGCGAUGGUGUGUGUCUCUGUGCCACCCUGACAAUACUCCAGUGUAGUGACUGUUAGAAGCCUCUAUGGCUUCCCACUACCAAACUACGAAGGAGGCAAGAAAAUGUCUCAUCCUAGGUAUUACUUUUCCUACCACUCCUGGAACUUUCUAGCAUUGUUGGACUCCGAAAACUUCAUCUUCCAUCCGAGAAGGUCUUGAAGGAUAAAGAGGAGGAGGUAGAAAAGGAGGAAGAGGAAGAGGAAGGCCUGGAAACGACAAUGCCUUUGCACUGGUGCAAAGGACCCAGUCUUGCAGACACUCUGAGAGAAACCAGAGAAAACAGGACAUUCUUUCUCUGCACUGCACAACGAUGGACUAUUUUGGUUGGUAUUUUUGUCUCCUCACAUUUUUUGGCUUUUAUAUCUAAAACAAAUAAAUAAAAACAGGCUGUUCUGUGAACUCUA